rnacentral:rRNA from 1 species
CGAACGGGUGAGUAACGCUGUGAGGAACCUGCCUCAAAGAGGGGGACAACAGUUGGAAACGACUGCUAAUACCGCAUAAGCCCACAGCUCGGCAUCGAGCAGAGGGAAAAGGAGCAAUCCGCUUUGAGAUGGCCUCGCGUCCGAUUAGCUGGUUGGUGAGGUAACGGCCCACCAAGGUUUACGAUCGGUAGCCGGACUGAGAGGUUGAACGGCCACAUUGGGACUGAGACACGGCCCAGACUCCUACGGGAGGCAGCAGUGGGGAAUAUUGCACAAUGGGGGAAACCCUGAUGCAGCGACGCCGCGUGGAGGAAGAAGGUCUUCGGAUUGUAAACUCCUGUUGUUUGAGGAAGAUAAUGACGGUACUCAACAAGGAAGUGACGGCUAACUACGUGCCAGCAGCCGCGGUAAAACGUAGGUCACAAGCGUUGUCCGGAAUUACUGGGUGUAAAGGGAGCGCAGGCGGGAGAACAAGUUGGAAGUGAAAUCCAUGGGCUCAACCCAUGAACUGCUUUCAAAACUGUUUUUCUUGAGUAGUGCAGAGGUAGGCGGAAUUCCCGGUGUAGCGGUGGAAUGCGUAGAUAUCGGGAGGACACCAGUGGCGAAGGCGGCCUACUGG